CGAGUGGCGGACGGGUGAGUAAUGUCUGGGAAACUGCCUGAUGGAGGGGGGAUAACUACUGGAAACGGUAGCUAAUACCGCAUAACGUCGCAAGACCAAAGAGGGGGACCCUCGGGCCUCUUGCCAUCGGAUGUGCCCAGAUGGGAUUAGCUUGUUGGUGGGGUAACGGCUCACCAAGGCGACGAUCCCUAGCUGGUCUGAGAGGAUGACCAGCCACACUGGAACUGAGACACGGUCCAAACUCCUACGGGAGGCAGCAUG
rnacentral:rRNA from 1 species